UAGAUGAUCCAACAGUAAGAGCCUGGGCUGACUGUGUGCACAUCUUGCCAGCAGUUCUGCUGCAGUCUCUUCUGUUUCGCCAGCCACUCAUGUUCCACCGUGGGUCUCUGUGGACUUGGGGCCCUGUGCCUGGAUGUGAGUGGUUUUCUAACUCACUGCUGUGAGUGGCUCCUUGGUCUGCAUUCACAGCAGGAGGUGCCUGGGUCGUGCUGCCUCCGAGUGACUCUUAAGAUGCGUGGGGCUGCGUGAGGGGCAGGGGUCCAGACUGUUGUGUCUGCAUCAUAGGAAUCCUGGAAAAUGCCACAGAAUGAUUGUGUUGGAGACAUUGGUUUGGAGGUGUGAUCAGUUCUGGAAAUGUAACAAAGAGAUUCUACAGACUCCGUUAUCAAUAGAGACCAGAGAUUCCCCCCACCUUCCUGAAGUACUAAACCAACUGACCAUCGCAUUCCCCCAGUGUAACUGGAAAACUGGCAAGAUGGGGAAUUAUUGGAGUCAUCAAGUUUUGUUCCAGUGGGGGGUGCUGUGGCUCUUCACUCCUUUUUCUUUUCUCACUGUGUCGGGGGAGUUCCUAGACUCUUGCUUUCCCAGAGUGUUGCACACAUUCAUACUUCUGCAAGUAAUGUCCAUUGUAUUUUCAAGGUGUUACAAGUAAUCAAGUUUACUAGAUUUAUUGUAUAAAUUCUCCCUGCUCCCAAAAUGCAGGGAAGUAACUGAAAAUUUUAUGUGAAUUAUUUCAGACUCUUCAUUAUUUACUUCUCAUUUAAUGUUUAACUUUGACACCUGUUAUGGCACCCUGUUUCAUGAGUCAUUUUCUCUUGUUUCCUAAUUGCCCAGAGAGUGGACUAGUUGGUACCAGCCAAUAAAAUCACUUUCACUAUUA